CCGUUACCUCUGGUGUAACUAACGGUGUUGAUCUGCAGAGCCUCUGAGCCUCUCCUGGCAGCUUCUCCAUCCCGACUGUGCCGCAGCUCGUCGGAUGUGUCGUGUUCCUGGGCUGAAUGACAGAGCAGUGAGGUGCUCCUGCUGGGUGUGUUUCCUACCUGUGUAAUGGGGAUCUAAUUAAUGGGUAUGGCUGGUCACCCCAGCAGAGACACAAGCCCAGAAGAAGCAGUCAGUUGUCUUCUUGCUCUUUCAGCCGGCUGUGCUUUGCUACAACACCAUAUUUCAAUAUUGUUGUUGUGUGUUUUCCUAAAUCCUGGGGAAUUGCUACAUUCCUUUUCCUUUUUUCCCCUAAUUUAGUGAGUGUUUUCACUGUUUCUGCAUCUUUAUAUUGCCAAAUACCUUGUUGAAUUGGCACAGUGUCUCAGAUGAAGAACAUGGUGUUGCAUCUGGUGACCAGGGAUGUCUCCUGGUCCCGUGCCCCGUCUGUCGCUCCUGCCUUGCUGCAGCAUCGGCUCCAGUGAGCUGGGAGCGCUAAGGGGCUGCCGAGAGAAUCACAAAAAUGCAGUUAUUGUUACCUGAAAGUGCUUGUUUAGCUCUUGUCCUGCUUACCCCGAGUUCUUUAUGAAGCAGGUUUGUAGGGUGCUGUGGACGAUGGUGAGGUUGUGCACACCUGCCCGCUUGCUGGGUGCUCAACCCCGCUGGCAUCAGCAGAGCUUGGGGAAAACCUCGCUCCUCUUCCAAGAGCGACGUUGUCACCGUGGUUUUGGGAGGAGCUGCCCUCUCCAGCUCCUGACCGGGCUCACUUGGUUGGGCUCUUGAGGUGCCUCUUGAGCUAAAUGCUCAAAUCUUUUGGGACCUUGUUAGAAAAGAAACAGGCUGGUGCUGCUCCUGCGCUGUUAACUGCUUUAACGAGCCUCUUCAGUUGUUGUGGGGAAGACCUCAGUCUCCUGGAUGACGUUUUUGCCCCAGUUGCUGUCUGGUGCGGUGACCGGGCUGCCGGUGGUGUUGGGAGCAGAGCAUCCCCCGUGACACCGACACCACAAGGCGUCCCGUCCCGAGGGGCUGAGAGGCUGCAGCUCAGCCCCGUGGUGCCGCACGCUGCGGUGGGGGUUUUGGGGAGCCCGUGACAGCGUGCAAGUGAGUAACCGCAGAGCUGUUUGCAUUGGUGCCAAGGGUUUCCAUUGCUGGGUGGAUGCAGGCGGUGAGCGCUGGGGUUUGGUGUUCUCCGGCAGGUCUGUGGCUCUGCCCUCGCUGGGUGAACCCCGCAUUUCAUCUCCUCACCCCAGGGACUUUGCUCGCAGUGCUGCCUUCCGCUUUCUUCCAAUUUCACACCGACAUGCCCUUGACGUAUUUACAAACGAACUCUCUUAUGUCAAUCCACCGAAAAGUGGCCCAAUAAUGUUCCAGAGAAAUGUUUUUCUCCUCUGUCUCCUUUUGCUGUGUCAAUCUUGCCUGAUGCUGAGCAGAGCGAGGGGGAGAUGCCGGCAUCGGUGCGAGAGCAUCCUGCUUCCCCGCAUGGCCAGCGCUGUGAAGGGCAUCCAGCGCCUGCUGCUGCCUGUCCUGGUGGAGAUUUUACCCCUGUACUGGUUUUGAUAUGCAAAUCUCAAAGGUUUCUACAGAGAGGAGUAAAUGAGAAUGUACUUGAUUACUCAGCUGGGGAAGCUGAGGCACAGGAGGGCAAUGAUCUGCCAAAAACUGAGAGCUGUGUCUGUCAUUCAGCUAGAAAUGCCUUUCUCCUUCAUUAGCUUAGCUUAUACUCCGGAUUUUAAGGCAACUUAACCUUCCUUGAAGUUUUCCUCUAGGGUUUCAGUGGUGUCAGGACUUUCUCCACACCUCUCAGCACACGAUCUCUCCUCCCGUGUUCCCCUUGUGUCUCCAUCCCGCUGGACAGGCUGAGGCUCAGCCCAGAGCAGGGGGCCAGCUCUGAUUUUGGGGUAACGAGUAGCUGCUAAUCAGCUAUGUUUGGUAGUUGACUGUGAGAAGCUGGUUGCAAACCUGCAGUACAAAUGUGUGAGCAUAAACCAUUGGAAGGGAGCAUGGUUUCCUUUGCAGUAGGUGGAGAACUGGGCUGUUAAUCAGAUCUGUCUGUGAUCAGCUGACAGAUGGUGACUCGCUGGGGAUAACUAAUCAUUUGCUCAUACGGGAGGUUGAGUAUGGAAGGAUGGUGUCUGUAAGGAUGCUCAAAGAGGACCUGAGCCCCCUGGAAAAGGAGGAUCUGUCCCUCCAAGGUGGAACUCGCUCCCUGGCUCUGAGGGUAGAAGUAAAGCAACCCCUGUGUCUUUUUGUAAGGCUUUUCUCUCUACACAUUCUCAAAAUCCUCCUCUCCAAAGGCAGCUGUCUCAGCAGGGAGGGCAGAGCACGAGCAGACGUGGUGCUGGCAGGAUGGGGACGGUUGAUGGGUGGAAACCUCUCCCUUCCUCUAGAGUUGGAGGACUCUGUGUACAAUUUAAAGUGAGGGGAGAAAAGGUAUCUGUACCAAGGAUUUGUCAGGCUUGUUCCUGGCAGAUAAGGUGGUCUUAUUGAGUGGCUUGACAUGCAAUUCCACGCAGCGUAUAGACGUUUGUCUAAUUUUUACCUAGAGGGAAAGAUUUUUCUAGCCAUCGUAAAAAUAAAACUUGGCGUAAUGGUAUAUUUGCUUGGGGAAAAUGAAUGUGAAAAUGCUGUCAAAAUGUCAGGCUUGUCUGGAGCAAGGGUCUCGCAGAAGAAAAGUGGCAUUAGCGUGUGAGGAUGUUUCGUUUAGAAGUAAUGAAGUCCUCAGCAUUUGGGGGCCCUGUUAAUGAAUCCAAAGAGCUACAAAGCCCAGAAGGGAGAUGCUGCUCACAGCUGGGAAGGCAGAGACACUUGCAGAGGGAGAGGCUCAGAACAGGUUAUUCCUACUGUGAAAUGACAUCAGAAGGCUGUGAAAAAUCAUUCCAAAAUCACAUUCUUCCGCCUGAAUCAUUUUAGGGAAGUCAGUUUUAUGUGGUAAGUCUAGGUGGCUUGCUCCUAGGUGAGAAUGGGACUUGGGUCUGAGUUUUAAUUUGAAAGGUGUUCAAGGGAAGAAGCACAAGUGUUCUCUGCUUUGUGAAUCAUCCCGCAGGGUUACAGGACCACGGAAAUUGUUGUUGUUAAGGCUGCUGGUCAGCACACACUGUCCCUCUUCUCUGAGAAAAACCCUCGCUGGGAAAAUGCCUCCUUGCAGAGCCCCAAACUGGUUCCUGUACACCACACAUCCCUUAUUUUCCUUGCAGGUGCAGCGUAUUUGAACGCAGAUGUGUUUUCUGCAUGAGCAGAAAGGGCAUGGGCAUGGAGUUCCUCUUGAUAACUUCAUUUUGGUAUUAAAAUAAUUUUCCAGAUAAUGCUGUUUCUCUUCUGAAGGCUCCCACACUUUUACCAUGGUGGAGUAAUAAUUCCAUUUAUGGGGAAACUGAGGCAGGGCCGGUGUUUGCUGCAGCCCCCGCUCAGCACUGCCGGCAGAAGUUUGCUGCUCGCCCUGACUUUCCAAUAAACAACUAAAAACUACCUCUGUUAGGUGGAUUUUGUGAAGGAAGGUGGUUAUUUCAUGAACACUGACGCCAAGUUGUGUAACAGCGGGAUAGGAGGGUGAGCCGAUGUUGCUCGGCUUGAGGUUUGGCCUUAUAAAUACCGAUUGCUUUGCUGGAGACCUCUUGUUGGUGUCAGGGUCAGUACAGUCUUUAGAGUUUGCUUUCUCAGAUGGAGCUUUGUGUUGUUGCAGGGAUAUAUAGAUAUAUAUGUAUUUUUCCUUGGACCUCUCCUGCCACAAGCUUAACAAAGAUUCUUUGUCAUUCUCCAGGGAAGCUUUUGAACCGCUGUGGUUUUGAAUUGGCGUUCAAUACAAGGUGGCGUGUUGUGAAGUGCCCUGCCCAAGGGCUCCGGGGCUCUCCACAGCAAUCCCAGCAGACAAAGCCAUUAAAUGUGGAGUGCCCGAGCGUGAUGAUUACCUGGCAGAAAGCUGCAGGAGAGCCUGUGCAGCUGAGACUCGCAGGAACGGGCUCUGUUUGAAAAACCACCCUUGGCAGGUGAGAACUCUGCUGGAAAAAGUCAAGGUAGGAGUUGUUGAUUCAUCAAGGUGGGUGGUUUAUUCCUUCUUUUCAGUGUAGGGCAGAAGAGGUAGGAACAAGGAGAAAUGAGGUGUUUUAAAUGGGCUUGUGUGUUUCCCCCUCUGCAAAGGCAUCAUCUCCCUGCAUGGUGGAUCUAAACCACUUCGAAUUUGCAGCUGGUGUGACUAAUGGCCUCGGUGGCUCGUAUCCUACAAGCAAAUUUAUAGCCUUGAGAAGUCAGAUCUAAUUUCUUCAGUUACAUUUGCAGAGUGAAACCCCAUAAGCGUGACUCCUGUGCUGAGCUCCUCCAGCCUCCAUCUCCUGGCAUCUCUUCCAUUCUGAACAUGUGGCUUCAUUUUUCCUCUUAGCACCACACCAGCUGGAGCAGAGGUGAAUGUCCCAUUCCCUCCUGUGGUUUAGAAGUCUGUAUCUAUAUUUUUAGAAUUUGUUGGGUUUUGUUGUUGUUUUUCUUUCCCCAUCAUACUGAGGUAGAAAGGGCCUUGAUGAUUUAAUCAACAUAAUCUCCAGAUAAAACAUGCUUCUGUUAUACUACUGGGAGAUGUUAAUUUAUGCUGGCUUGCUUCUCCUAAGGUAAAUUAAAUCAUUAGUUUUAAGACUGGAUUAGGUGCGCACGUCCCCUGCCUCUUAAAAAGGCAGCUCAGUAGUUCUGAAAAGCUUCUUGGUUUGGAGUUUCAUGGGAGUCAUCAAGUCGUUUCAGUGCAGGUGUCAUGAAAAGUGGAAGCACCAGCUCCCUGGUAGCUAAAUGUCCCUGUGGCUCCUUGACUACUCAAUAAUAGUAUUUUACCUGCUCAUUAAUUCAGUGAGAAGGUUUUGCCCCAGGUCUGGGGAACCAGCUACUGCUCCUUUGUUUGAACCUGUAUCUUGAGCAUCUUCAUCUAUGGAGAACUGAGCUGCUGUGUGUCUGUUGGAGGAGACCUGGCCUGGGGAGGGGGCGUCCAGUCCCCUCUCCCACUGCAGAGAUCGUCGGGACAUCCAGGAUGGUGCAUUGACUUAUGUUUGGCAAUACACCUGAGCAGAGCUGCGCUGUCGAGCCCGGGUUGCUGUCAGCACCUCUGAACUGACUGAAAAGUCCCCGAAAUGCACAAGGGAAUCUCUGUGAGUGCACAAAUGAAAAGUAAAAGAUCUUUACUGAGGUGGGUGGGAGACAUUACGCCUCUUUCAUAUAGGUGGGGAAACUGAGGCACAGCCUGCUUCUCAUUGGGGGAGCCAGUAGCAGGGUGUAGGGGUGAAAUCUGGAUUCCUCGUGCCAAUGUCUCCUCCUGGAGUCGCUUGAUGUGGAGCAGAUGAGCCGGGCCAGCGUGGUGGCUCCUCUGCGGUCCCUCGCAGGGACGCUGGCUCCACUGUGGAGGUGCCCUGUCUGCUUGGCUGGCCAGGAGCCCUGGUGAGACAGACGGGAAGGGCUCCCUGCCACCCAGGGGGAGGAGGAACGACAGAGCCCCUCCUGGCAGUUUCAGGGCUAUUAAGGAUGUGAUAAUGAGGCGUUGCAGCAUCAUUUUUCAGCAUUUGGCUCCCCCAUCCCUACUUCAGCCUGUGCAUUAGCGCUCUCCAUCCCAGGAGGACAGUAACCACUGCUGGUGCUGUAACUCCAUUUACUGUGCAGCUUCUAUUUAUAUAAUUAUUUCCUUUCAUUUUUUUAAUUCAUUUAUUGGGCAUCAACAGGGCUUGUGCAGGUUGAGAGGUUGAGGAGAGAAGGUGCCUUCCCAGAAGCCUGUCUCAGUUCUCCAUCAAAGGAGAGCAGAUGGUCAAGGUACAGGUUUGAUCAAAGGAGAGAUUGCUGGUCCCCCAGACCUGGGGCAAAACCUUCUCCCUGAAUUAAUGAGCUGGUAAAAUAAAACUAUUGAGUAAAGAAGGUGGAUGUGCCUGUUGGGGCACUCAGACUCCUCUCCAUCCCCACCUCCCACAGGCACCCUCAGGGCUGAGCUCUUGACCUUCAGUGUGCUGUGCUGGCCCUGCUGUUCCUGUGUGAUGGUGUGCGGGUUUGGUUUUGGGGGGCUGUGCGUUCCUCGGGCUGAUGCCUGUGCUGGGGAUGCCUCACAAGAGCAGAUAUCACCUCCCUGCUGCCGUGCUGCGGGUUGGACAGGCAGGUGGCCGCGUUAUCGGGAGAGGAGAUGAAAAGCUCCCCAACUGGUAUUUGUCACUUCUGACUGCAGACAUCAAGGAUCUGUCACUGACAGAGCAAAAGGGGAAUGAUGUUUUUUUGUUUGAUCAGGCUGUUUUCCCUCUCUGAGUACCGCAGGGCUGAGGAGACACGUAGUGCUGCCAAGCGCUCGCUCUGCUUUACCUUUGUGCAGGUUUUUCAGAGGAGAAGCACUUGUUUAAUUAUAAAGGAGCUGUUUGUAGUCUCUCGCACGCUGGCAGAGACCUGAGGGCAAAGCUGCUAUGCCAGAUGUAUUUUGCUUUGGUUUGAUGUCUCUCUCAAGAUACUGAUGUCUCUCCUGCACCUCCCUGCCACUCAUCCAAGGCUCAUCCUGUGGCCAUGGAGGAUCGGUCAGGUCUGUGCUUGGGCACAGGGAUCUCAAUGUCACCGAGGGGCACCAGGAGGUCACCCUGCUCCAGUCCUUGGUCUGCCAGCGGGUUUAAAAGCCAGAGCUUCUGCUCUGCAGUGCUUCAGUGUUGCUCAGAGGCAGCAGCCGGUCGGAGCAGGAGGGAUGCUGGUGAUGGGGGACAGCAGGGAGGAAGAGGCACGUCUCGGGUGAGGGCAGUGUUUCUCUGAAGCAGGAGGUCACCUUCACAUCCACCGCUGUCCCCAAGUCAGGGACGACACAAGACAGGAGGAGCAGAGGGCUUAGCCAAGACACCAGUCGGCUUCCUCUGGAGAAGUCCUGCUGGCUCCUAACUUGCUGUUCCUGGUAUCCUGGUAAGCCCAACCUGUCCCCAAGAGUCCCCCAAUGACUUUCUGCAGUGGUCAUGGUAUGAGGUUUCUCCCAGAGCGGAGCUAUUCCUUUUGCUUCUGCUGAAGAACCUAGGGCCAGGCUGUCAGGGAGGAGAGCCUUGCUGCAGGCAACAAGGCAUGCUGGCAUAGACAUGUGCUGUGUCCUAAACUCAGUACAAUAUGGGGCCUGUUUUUAUCCUAAGCAGUCGGCAGGCUUCUUGGCGUGCCUUUGUGCAGGAAUUCAGCUGCUGGGUGGCAGCAGGAACCAGCAUCCUGAGCGGGUGCACUGAGAUGAUGGACACCCGCAGAGCUGCUUUCUCCCGGAUGGAUUUGCCAAGAGAGGAGCUGGAAGGAACCAGUUCAAGGCGUUUAAAGCUUUUUUUUUUUCCUUCUGUCUCUUCCUUUGACGUCUCUUUUCUGCUCUUGCUCUGGGUUCGUGGCUCUGGGCCAGAUUUGGUUGAAAUGUGGGAAAGAGGAAGAUGCCAGUUCAGCAUCGCGGGGAGCAGACCAGGAGUGCUCUUAUCUGCUUACACCUCUGCAAACACUGGCUGCGAGUGCUGCUUGUUUGCUGACCAAGGACGUGCCCAAACAAAGCACCGUUGUGUUUCAGGUCAGUGAGAUGGAGUUCAACCUCGACUGCAUCUCUAGCCUCUGAAUACUCCGCUCCUGUGUCCCCCUGGCAGCAGAAGGGGACCUUGAUGUCCCCACCUGCCUCCCCGCUCCUGCCACAGCCUCGUGAAAGACCCUGUGAUUAAUUAUGCUGCUCCACAGCCUCUGAAAAUUUAUUUAGGGUUUUAUGUUUGCUGCCGCUGCUUAAACAAUGGCAAAUCUGCGGUGGCUGCGUCCCAAGCAGGUGGCAGCUAAUAGGUCAAUAAAGUGAAUGGCAUCAUCAGAGCUGUCGAGCUGCCAGAGCCAGGCAGGUAGCGGGGAAAGCUGCAGAGAAGUCAAGACAGAUCUGCUCUAGCAGAAAUGCAUCUGGCUAUGAUGGCUUGCAGGGAAUUGCUCACUUCCCUGAUAGCACCCACUGCUUUAAUAGAUCCAUUUUUCCACUACAGUUUGUCUAGCUUAAGCUUUCUUCUCCGUACAUCCCACGCUCUCCUAAAAUUUAGUCUAGUAGGAACUUUUCAUCUCCCAGAGCUUUGGAAGUUAUUUUCCUGAAAGAUUUUUCGAGGCCUUGGGGUGUACAGAAAGGGCGGACUGGGGGGAUUGUCAGCUGAAGGAAAUGGAGAGCUUCAAACCACACAAAAUGCUGCCAAAGGCACACAGAAAUCAGCCCAGCUUGAAACAGCCUGCAACCACCUGGGAAGACUUAGGAAUCGCCUCUGAGCAUCUCACCUGGUGCUGCUGUACAAGGACCGGGGAUGGCAGGUCUGGAGCAGACAAAACGCUGUUGUACCCACUUUACAGCAGCGCCCCAUGCAUCAGUGAGCACAGAAAGCUCCUGACAUCUCCCUUCUGAGGCCACGGAGUUUUGGUAGAGAAAGUGACUUUUAUAGACAUAAAGGAGGUUUCCUUUUGGGUCAAGUGCUCUGGAAAUGAAUUAUUUUUGAGAUGAAAGCCUUUUUUUACUUGGGUAAUACAGAUUCACAUUGCCUAAAGGGAAGGCUGCCUUGUGCUUGGGUAUUUUUCCCUCUGGGAGCAUUGUGAUUGCUUUUGAAGAUGAAUUUUCAACAUACAAAGGAGAAGAAGAAAGCUGAGAGAAAGCAAGGGCUUUACAAAAUAUCAGGGGUCCUCGUGGUCUGUUCUAAUUUGUCAGCGUGUCUCUUGCUUGGAACACCCGUGUCUGGUGCAGGGCUUUUCCUCCUCUUCCCUAAGUGAUUUGCUCCUUCCUUCUUCAUUAGUCCCAGCCUUUGGAUUACAUUUGGUUGUGUUUUGUUUUUCUCCCUUUUUAGGCUAAGCUUUUUUCACCUGCCAGCGGGUCCCCACCCUCACUGCAGCUGAUGGGAAGGGAUGCACAUUGCUGGCGGCCCCUUCUGAUGUGGUGUGGUACCCCAUGGGGUGCACCCUUUUCCUGUCUAUUAUCUGAGGGAUUUUGUUUGAAAACAUCAUGCCCUAUGGACUCCAGGUCCCCAAAGCCAUUUCUGGCUUUGCUAAGAUAUGGGAAGCAUCAGAGUGUCUCGUUUCUCUGCUUUUUUGGUGGUUUCUCCUUCCCUGCCCUGCAGGGACAAGGUGCACACAGGGCUCUGCUGCUGCUUGGUGUGAAACACUAUAAAACCCAAGCAUUGAUUUCUCAAUCAAAGGUGUCUGUUUGCUCCUUGGUCUGGGACUUUAAUGCCUGAAAAUCCAUCUCUUGCUCCCCGACAGUUUGCUUUCAGACUUUUAAAUCAGCUCUUGUGCUUCAGAGCUUUGGGAAGGGAACAGAUUCAGUCAAGCCAAUGUUGUUCGUGUGUCUCACGGGUGGGUUUUGAACCAGACAGAGCCCAUGGGGGCUCUCAGGUCCCAGGCGAGACCUUUGCCUGUGUCUGGCGGUGCUACAGGGGCUUUGGGGGAAGCUCUGGGUCUUCCUCCUGCCUCAACAAUGAACCUGCCUCAGCUGCUCCGUGUCCCCAGGCUUCGUGGACUUGUUUUUCGUUUGUUUUUCCUGAAGUUGCAGUAUGUCCUGGCCAGAGAUGUCAGAAAAACAUGAACACCUUCCACACCACAUUUCCACCUGUGCUUCCCAUCUUUUCCUAGCAAUCGCCAUGUUUGCUCCCUGUUUUCAAAGCAUUGUACUCUGCUGUUCUUCAGGUGCUGUAUUGCUGAUGUAGGCUGAAACGCAGCUGCUUCUGUGGAGGAACAGAGCAGCUUGAGGCAGAACGGAUUGCUGCUGCUCUCCUGCAGAGAUUGCUGCUGCUGACCUGAGCUGGGAGCAUUGGCUGCAGCUCUUGCCUUGGCCUCUGCUUCCUUCAUCACCAUGGGGCGAUUGCUGCUGCUGUUUAACCUCAGCUUUCCUCCUCCUUUAGGAGGGUGAAUGACCUGAAAGCCUUUUCCAAAGAUUGAAGCCGGGGUUGCUUUGCAGCCCUGGGAGGUGCAGGGGGGUGUUAGAGCAGAGCGAAGGGGAGGUGCAGGUGAGUCCUGUGCUGAUUGCAUGCAGCAGAUUUGUCUGGAAGGAGCUGAAGGAAGUGUAUCGAGGAUGUCUCAGCUAUUCAAGUGAGAAAUCAAAUUAAACUUCGCAUCAAAUAGUAGAACAACUCUGUAUGAAGAGUUAUGUCAAAUUCAUUAGAGGUUUCUACACACCAGCCCCUCAGGAGUUAGUGGAGAGUCAAACGAGUGCUCUGUGUCAGGGGCUGUGUCUGUCUGCUCACCUGGAUGUGCUAACAAUGUGGGCAGAUGAAGAGGGAAUUACUGCUUUAAUCUUCAAGGUGCUUGUGUGAGAAGCAAGGAGGAGGACACCAACUCCACAGCAAUGCCACCAACAGCAAACUGGGACACCUGUCCCUCAGCCUGCACCCAGCGACACCAGGUGAGGACAGGGGACAACAGCCCCAGCAAGCUGGAGAUGUGGAAAAUGCUUUUGUCCAAGUUGCCUGUCUCCUGAUCUCCCAGUAACAGGCUGGGCGAUGGAGUCCUUUGGAAGCCCUGGGGUGUCUGGGAGGCAGAAGGGAGUAAUCUGAAGGAGAUAAAAAUAUCAGUAUCACAUGGAAGUAUGCGUUCAGACUUGCUUCUCAUUGGGCAGGACUCUACGCUUGUUCCAGGCAAGGAACAAUACGUUUGUCCCUCAAUGGGGACAGAUUGCUCGGGGGCUGGAUGGAGCCCAGACUUGGCACGAGAGGCCCUGCAGGCAGGAGGAGCUGCCAGCGCGGCGGCAGGGGAGGCGCCUGCUGGGAACCUGGGAUGCCGUGGGAGUUUGGCUGCAAAAUGAUUUCCCCACACACCACAGGCUCCAAGAGCUCCCAGGUGACCAAAGCACCUCCAUCCCUGCUUCUCUCCCGUGGUGGGACACACCAAAAUGCUGGAGGAUGACAGGGACACUGAGCUUCAUCCUCUGCAAGUGCUGAAUGCUGAAGUUUUCUCUGGCUCAUGUGCUAAGGCCCAGGCUUGACUAAUUCUAUUUUAUUUUAUUUCCCAUCCCUGAUGCAUGUUGUGCAUUGGCUUAGAAGCACUCAAGCGCUAGCUUGUUAUUUAAAAGCCAUUUGCAAUACUGCUGCUCUGCUGGCAGGAGAAAUUAGUCUGGCCCCGGGAUGUGCAAAUCCUGGUGUUGGAGCAGGACGACCUGGUAACAGGCAGAGGUGUCUCCUCAGGUGUCCUGCCUCCUGCUAGGCCUGGAUUAGGGCUCUCCAGCCAAGAAAAUGUCUUUCCUUCUUCUUUUUCUGUUCAUUUGUGAGAAUUUUUAGGAAUUUAGCAUGAUAAACCUCAAUUAGGCAACACUUAUUAAUUUCUGAGAUGUAAUUUAUUUACAGUGUUCCCAUUCACAGCAGCAAGUGCUGAUAAUUGCUGUAGUUUGCUUUCCAGCCCAGGAUUUGAGAGGCUCAAAGCUGGUGAACGUGGCUGCCAGGCAGGCAGGGCAGGCUCGGGGGAUACGAGGAGCCCAUCGAGGAGCUGACUGACCCAGACACGUUAGUUUUUGCUCAAAGCCAUCCUUGUCCUAGACCAUGGAGCAGGAAUGCCUGUCCCCUCCCCAGGGCUGCAUUAACCCAACUGUCCUGCGAUGCCUUUUGCUGUCUGUGCUCUUCUCUUUGUUUGUUUGCCCCCAGGGUGACACAGGUGUCCCCAUCCUGCACCGGUGCUGCUGCAAGGUUGGAUGAGCUGCUGCUGUGUGGACCUGGAGGCAGAUCUGCAGGAAAUCAAUGGUGCCAUGAGAAAACGAGGCUGUUGCUUGGAGAUGCUGUAUUGGAGCUUUGCUGACAUGUGAAGCCCUGUGAUGAAUUCCUUUGGAGCAUGCUGUGCUGUUUACCUGUGAGACAUCAGCUUCUCCUGGAUGAGGCCCUGUCUCCCUGACGGUGUAGCCAGCUCAGCGGGCUAAUGAAGCAAUUGUUCUACACAAUGGAUUUAGCCAUCAGCCAUCAUCUCCAGCCGAGCUUGAUCUAUAAUGCCUGUUUGCAGGCAUGGGAAGUGUUCAGCGCUCCCAGGAGCGGGUGGUGUGUGAAGUCGGGAUUUAUUAGCCAUCUGGCAUGCUGCUGGGCCGUUUGUUAUUGAGGAUCUUGCAGGAAGAACUUCUGAUGCCGCAGUGAGCUCCGUGCUGUUUGGAAAGUAAAGCUAAUUUCUGGGAGCUCGUGGUGGGGAGUCCUGGCUUAUCAGGUUCCUAAAAACAGUGAGUUUGGACCACUGCCUGCUUCUAAAAACAGUGAGUUUGGACCACUGCCUGCCUGCUGUGAUGUUCCUAUUGAAUGGGAGAGGAGAGAGUUAUUGCUCUGGUCCAGGUAUCCAUGGAGAAGUGUGACCUGCUUCUUCCUAGGCUGAGCAUGCCAGGAUGCUGCUGGAGGGGCUUCUGGUUUUGUUUCUUAAGCCUGACCUCUUCCUCAUGCAUUUGGCGAUGCCCCGUGAUGUGGUGAGCAGGAACUGCAGGGAACAUGCUGUCUUUCACCAUAGUUGACCUGUGGAGCAAGAAUCUGGCCCUGGAGCAUCUCCUGCCCUUUGCAGGGCUUAUAUUCAGGCGCUGAGCUGGGCAGCUCCAGAAAAUGAAAUGCAAAUGAAAUGGAAAGCUGAGGGGCGAGGAGGCUGCUGACUUCUUUGCUGCUGAACUCUGCUGCCUGCAGGAGAAUUGCGUUCUGGCUGUUGCUUGUGUUCUUCUCCCCGGUUAGCCUGGGGAAUGCACUGGCAAGAUAAAGGCACGCAAUUUCCUUGGCUUGCACUGAGAUCUUAUUAUGCAUUUCCAUAAAGCGAAAAUGGAGGAGGGAGCAGCCCAAGCCUUCUGGAGCCGAGUAGUACAGCUCAAUAACCCUGCCAGGCCUCGGGGAAGCGGGGCUGCCCUUCAACAGGCGAGGUGCGGUGAGGAAGGGUCACCCAGCUGCUUGGAAGCAGGGACUGAGGACUUGGAGCCAAGGGUGCUGUUUUUUGUUCUUCCUCCUGGACCAUGCGUACGGCUGAAGAGCGAGAGCUGUGGAUGCAGAAGGGUUGGUGGGGAGAUGGGGUUGGAUGUCAGGGUCUAGCGGAUGAACAGAGAGCAGGGCACUCCCAAGCUGCAAGGUUGUUUGCAGAGAGCCUGGGAGAUGGCUGGGUGAGGUUUUUAUCCUUUCUGGGGUAGGGACCAACUCAGCACUCUCUUCUCACCCAUCCCUGUUCUGCACAGUCCCAGCCUCCCCUGAUCCCGCAGCUUUCAGCCCAGUCAUGUCCUGUUCACGGUCCCUGUCACAUCUCCCAGUCCUGAGAGCUGCUCUGGGGCUGUAGGACCCUCUGAAAUCACCCAUAAAGUGCUGUAACCCCAGGCAGGACCUGGUUUCCCAACUGGAACUGAGGGUCCUGCUACCAGUUCCAACAAGGGCAGUUUUCCAUGUCAAAGGGCUCAUUGCUGGCCACAGUUUUGCUGCUUCUUAACACAGUGGUAAGGAAAGGAGCUUUAAAUAUGGGCAGCUAAAGAAAAAGCUCCUCUGAAGACUUGGACUUUGCAGGAAUAAGUGCCUGCACUGUUAGGGUUGCUUUUAAAACCUCUAACCACUGUGUUCUUCAGCAGCUUAAGCUGUGUGUGUAAUAAUCACCUGAAAUGGAGUUGGGCUCUUACGAUAACAAGAAAGCACAAGGUUGGAAUGAAUGAGAGGAGCAAGGGGGCUGGUUCCCAACAGUGCUGAGCCGUCCCCCACAUCACAGUGAGGCCCCGUCCCAGGGGACUGGGCUGGCAGGAGGUUUGGGCUCAGCUAACAAGCAAUGGUUGAGUGGGUGAUUAGUGUUUUACAGCCACCUGCCCACGGUCUUAUUAUGGGGUUAGUCUUUGUGAAUGUCAGCACGAUCAGAAGUUAUCAACACUGCCCAGAAAUCAUUAGUGCUUGCUAUGCCAAGAAGGCGAGCCCGUGGCUUUUGUUGGCCUGCUUUUGGACAUAUGGGUACAUGGGGAGCAGGUUUCAUGUAUAGGAAUGGUCCCUAUGGAGCUCACUGAGGUGUGCAGGCUGUAUUGUGCUGGCUAAUGGCCAUGUUUCUUGGUGUGCAAAUGAGCAGUCACCACUGGAUGGAUGUUUGUGGGAAGGAUGGCACAGGUCAGUGUAGAGGAGCUGGUGUGUGCCGCAGGUGCUGGCUAACAGGAGACAGAUAGAGCAAACGAUGCUAUGGCUGCUGUCAGCCUGUGGUGGGAACGCAGGGAUGGUUUCAGGAGGUGUCGGAGUCCCCCAAGCACUCCACUUUGUCCCAGGGAGUAGAAGUAGGUGGUGGGCGCUGGAGCUGCAUCUUUGCCCUCAGGUGCAGCGCUGUGUCCCGACAGACUGUUGGCUGGAAGGAGGGUACCUGGUGACCUCUGCGUUGUGUUUGACAGGAGGUGGAAAUGAGGGAGACCCUCUCCCCUGUCUGCUGGGAAAGGUGCAUGGAUAGCUCCGUUCUCCGUUGCUCUGGCUGGUUGGGAUCUGAGCUGCCCCAGGGCUGCUGCUCUGUCCUGUCCUGCCAGGGCUCCCAGGUGAGACACAACCACCCGUGUCCAGCGGUACCUGCUGCUGCUGAGUCCUGGCCCCUCCUUGUGCCUGGUGACAAGGAGCUGUGGAUGAAGGAGGCCGGUGAGGCCGGUAGAGCCAGGAAACCUCCUGCACUUUCAGGGAACGGUGCUAUCUGGAAACUGCCUCCCGCACUGGAGAAGCCUGUGUUUGUAAUGGAAACAUGCUUUAAUAGAUAAAUUGCUUUUGUUGGCUUGUUAAAUAUAUAAUUCAUGUCCUCAUGCGUGUUGGGGUGCAUAAAGCCAGAGCUGAAUGGUUUAUUCAUCAGUGGUGCUCGGUCCCCUCGUGCCAUGCCCUGUCCCUUCCCUCCUGUGGCAUGUCACCGCAAGAUGGAAUCAAGGUGGGGGGAGCAUCUUGGCUUUGCUGUCUGGUGCCCAUCUCCGUCUGCAUUGUGCUGGGAGAUCAGACAGGACGAGCAGCUGGAGACGCGUUUGCUCCCCUGCCAGACCCAGGGGGAGCAGGCAGACCCUUCCCCAGGCGCAUCCCUGGCAGCAGCCUCUCUCCUCCGCUCUAAUCCCAUUCAGACCCUGUCCUCCGCUUCUCCCCAGUGAGGCUGCAGGAGCGAGAGACCGGCUGUUUGUGUUGGGGCUGAAUAGAUUAGCUCUGGCCCCCGGGAGCAGCUCUCUCAGCUUGCACUCGAGAUAAGCGAGGCCAUGUCCUCCUGGCUCUCGGACUCCUCGGCAGCUGGCGGAGCUGUGAUUAGCCUCAAUUUAUGCAGGCUGUUAAACAAACACCUGCAAGGUUCAGGGACAGAGAAGCCAAGUCAUUUUUGCAAGCAAAUAGUCAUGUUGCAUUAAACUGAGAACACUGUCCUUUUUUUUUUCAUGGUGCCUCUUAGACCUCCGAGACAUCUGAAUGAGGCAGAGAGAUGCUGCGAGCGGGGGUGACUCUAAUAUCGUGUGAUACUCUGGCAGCACUGGGCUGAUUGCUGUGGGCACAAGCACGGCCGUGACUUCUGGGGUUGCUGCUAUAGCUGACAAUUUCUAAACUUGUUCUGCUCUUAUUGCUUUCUCGACUGUUUGCAAUUCUCUGUAGCUCACCCCUAAUCUCCUGCAAUAGACCCGCUGUUAUUGCCGGCAGAAUGAUGGGUCGCGUUGCGGGGGCACCGUGAUGUUGAGAUCUAUCGGAGUGUUAAUAAAAGGGCUUAAUGUGGAGAAAAGGAAAUCCUGCUCCUCCAGAGACCUCGCUGAAGAAUGUAGUGUAAUUAACCUCAGAGGUGAUUGCUUACAGCAGUGUUGUGUGCCAGCAAAGAGCCCAAAAAUAGUCUCCAUACAAGUGUAGCUGGAAGGCGGGUGGCUUUCCCCCUUGGAAAGCCUGGCCAGACUGCAGCUGAGGACUAGGGCAGAACAAAUCUGAAUUAGCAUUGCCCAUCCAGAGGUUUCACUCCAAUUGCAAGCACAUUGUCACAUGUGGAUGCAUGUGUUUUCAGGCAGGGGCUCCCCAGCCCUGGAGCACAGAGGGAUGGGGUUGCUCUGGGAACGGCAGCGCCCUGGCAGUGGAGCUGCUGCCUCUGCUGCCCUGUGCCGGGGUGAACACUUGUGUCUGGGGGUGGAUGGAUCCCUUCCUCCCUGGGCAUCUCCUUCUGCUCCUGAGGGAAUCCUUCCAGUGAAAGGGAGAGACGGGGCAAGUUCAGCUACUCUCCCUUCUGCCUUGUGUUUUGCUGCAGAGAGCAGGAUCCAGCCCUGUGCCAGCCGAUGCCUUGGAAAGCCUGUUUGCAGAGCGCUUGUUCCUGGGCUGCUGCUCUGCUCCGUAGGAGGAAAGACUUCAAACAGCAAUUAGCUAACGUACCAUUUCCAAAGAAACAGCUCUUGGCGCGCCGGACAAUGGGCUGCAGGAGGCAAACAGGUUAAAAGCUCUAAUUCUGGUAAGAUAUAUUUAGGUGGGUGCUUUUUUUCUUUCAAAGGCAGGUAGGUUAGAAAGGCUGUGACUCUUUAAAUAGAAUUAUCUUUCCUUAACCAGCUAGGAGCUGCAUUAGGAGCAGGGGCUGUUUCUUCCCACCCAGCCAGGACAGAUGUCCUGGUGCUGCUGACAGACUAACGCAGCUGAGCCUUCUUCCCAGGGCACCUGGUGUACCUGCAGACCUGCCCUCACGUUAGUAGCAGGGGGGCUGAAAUAAGAGUCUGUUUUCCCUUGACAGCUACCAAAUAAAGAAAUUAUCUGC